UGUGUUUAUAGAUUCUUAAAUAUCAUUGCGUUAGAAUAAAUAUAUAAUGAAAGGUUUCACAUUCUAAUGUUCGUUGGUAUAUCAGAUGCUUAAUGCUUAUUGUAUGCGGACAAGUUAUCAUGCCAGAUACCUUUCACCUUUUUCUUUUUCUUGCAGCUUGAACGUCUUCUCAUCGAGACAAAGAUUCACCUUCCAUACCUCUGCAUCGCGGAACUAAUGGAGUUGGA